rnacentral:tRNA from 1 species
GCCACCAUAGCUCAGCCGGUAGAGCAGCCGCCUUGUAAGCGGCAGGUCGGGAGUUCGAUUCUCCCUGGUGGCU